UGUGUCAGCAGCCGCGGUAAUACGUAGGUGGCAAGCGUUGUCCGGAAUUACUGGGUGUAAAGGGCGUGUAGGCGGGAAUGUAAGUCAGAUGUGAAAGCCCAUGGCUUAACCAUGGGAUUGCAUCUGAAACUGCGUUUCUUGAGUGCUGGAGAGGAAAGCGGAAUUCCUAGUGUAGCGGUGAAAUGCGUAGAUAUUAGGAGGAACACCAGUGGCGAAGGCGGCUUUCUGGACAGUAACUGACGCUGAGGCGCGAAAGCGUGGGGAGCAAACAGGAUUAGAUACCCUGGUAGUCCACGCCGUAAACGAUGGAUACUAGGUGUAGGAGGUAUCGACCCCUUCUGUGCCGGAGUUAACACAAUAAGUAUCCCACCUGGGGAGUACGGCCGCAAGGUUGAAACUUAAAGGAAUUGGCGGGGGAC
rnacentral:rRNA from 1 species